rnacentral:rRNA from 1 species
CUAACACAUGCAAGUCGAACGGAACUGUUUUGAAAGAUUCUUCGGAAUGAAUUUAAUUUAGUUUAGUGGCGGACGGGUGAGUAACGCGUGAGUAACCUGCCUUCAAGAGGGGGAUAACAUUCUGAAAAGAAUGCUAAUACCGCAUGACAUAUCGGAACCACAUGGUUCUGAUAUCAAAGAUUUUAUCGCUUGAAGAUGGACUCGCGUCCGAUUAGUUAGUUGGUGAGGUAACGGCUCACCAAGACCGCGAUCGGUAGCCGGACUGAGAGGUUGAACGGCCACAUUGGGACUGAGACACGGCCCAGACUCCUACGGGAGGCAGCAGUGGGGGAUAUUGCGCAAUGGGGGCAACCCUGACGCAGCAACGCCGCGUGAAGGAUGAAGGUUUUCGGAUUGUAAACUUCUUUUAUUGAGGACGAAAAAUGACGGUACUUAAUGAAUAAGCUCCGGCUAACUACGUGCCAGCAGCCGCGGUAAUACGUAGGGAGCAAGCGUUGUCCGGAUUUACUGGGUGUAAAGGGUGCGUAGGCGGCUUUGCAAGUCAGAUGUGAAAUCUAUGGGCUCAACCCAUAAACUGCAUUUGAAACUGUAGAGCUUGAGUGAAGUAGAGGCAGGCGGAAUUCCCCGUGUAGCGGUGAAAUGCGUAGAGAUGGGGAGGAACACCAGUGGCGAAGGCGGCCUGCUGGG